rnacentral:tRNA from 12 species
GGCCCCGUCGUCUAGUGGCCCAGGACGCCGCCCUCUCAAGGCGGUAGCGCCGGUUCGAAUCCGGUCGGGGCUACCA